rnacentral:rRNA from 1 species
UGCAGUCGAACGAUGAACCUCCUUCGGGAGGGGAUUAGUGGCGAACGGGUGAGUAACACGUGGGCAAUCUGCCCUUCACUCUGGGACAAGCCCUGGAAACGGGGUCUAAUACCGGAUACGAGCCUGAGAGGCAUCUCUCGGGUUGGAAAGCUCCGUUGGUGAAGGAUGAGCCCGCGGCCUAUCAGCUUGUUGGUGAGGUAAUGGCUCACCAAGGCGACGACGGGUAGCCGGCCUGAGAGGGCGACCGGCCACACUGGGACUGAGACACGGCCCAGACUCCUACGGGAGGCAGCAGUGGGGAAUAUUGCACAAUGGGCGAAAGCCUGAUGCAGCGACGCCGCGUGAGGGAUGACGGCCUUCGGGUUGUAAACCUCUUUCAGCAGGGAAGAAGCGAGAGUGACGGUACCUGCAGAAGAAGCGCCGGCUAACUACGUGCCAGCAGCCGCGGUAAUACGUAGGGCGCAAGCGUUGUCCGGAAUUAUUGGGCGUAAAGAGCUCGUAGGCGGCUUGUCACGUCGAUUGUGAAAGCCCGAGGCUUAACCUCGGGUCUGCAGUCGAUACGGGCUAGCUAGAGUGUGGUAGGGGAGAUCGGAAUUCCUGGUGUAGCGGUGAAAUGCGCAGAUAUC